ACAGCAGCAGCCGCGGUAAUACGUAGGGUGCGAGCGUUAAUCGGAAUUACUGGGCGUAAAGCGUGCGCAGGCGGUUUGUUUAGACAGAUGUGAAAUCCCCGGGCUUAACCUGGGAACUGCAUUUGUGACUGGCCGGCUAGAGUAUGGCAGAGGGAGGUGGAAUUCCACGUGUAGCAGUGAAAUGCGUAGAUAUGUGGAGGAACACCGAUGGCGAAGGCAGCCUCCUGGGCCAAUACUGACGCUCAUGCACGAAAGCGUGGGGAGCAAGCAGGAUUAGAUACCCGCGUAGUCCCUGUCUCUUAUAC
rnacentral:rRNA from 1 species